UGAAACUUAAAAGAGACUUUGAUGAAGUGUUGUCAACGCCAAGAACAAAGACCUCUCUGCUCUGUUUUGAGAUCCAGCUACUCUUCAAAGUUCAAACUAAUCAAAAGUCCCGAUUUCUUACUUCAGUCCAUGGAUUCUGCUGGAUUCUGAGAUCAACCAAUCAAAACCAAAAUGGGCUUUAAGGUUGUGUUCUUGAUUUCUCUGUUUCUACUUCCUGUUACUUUUGGCAGCAACAUGGAACGAACCACCUUGGUUAUAGACGGUGGACAUGGAAUCGCUGAGACCGAUGAGAACUUUGUCUGCGCAACGCUUGAUUGGUGGCCACCUGAAAAAUGUAACUAUGAUCAGUGUCCUUGGGGUUACGCUUCUCUCAUUAAUUUGCUUUUAGGACGUUGAGGAUAAGAAUAGGUGCUUCCUUGCAAGAUCAAGUGAUCUACGACGUAGGAGACUUGAAGACUCCUUGCACUCAGUUUGAGAAGACAGACGAUGGAUUGUUC